GGAGGGGCACCUGAUCCAGCAUUCCGCGUGAGUGAAAAGCUUCGGGUUGUAAAGCUCUUUCGCAAGGGAAGAAACGAUACAGUCUAAUAAACUGUGUUAAUGACGGUACCUUGAUAAGAAGCACCGGCUAACUACGUGCCAGCAGCCGCGGUAAUACGUAGGGUGCGAGCGUUAAUCGGAAUUACUGGGCGUAAAGCGUGCGCAGGCGGUUUUGAAAGUCAGAUGUGAAAUCCCCGGGCUCAACCUGGGAACUGCGUUUGAAACUCCAAAGCUAGAGUAUGGGAGAGGGGGGUAGAAUUCCACGUGUAGCAGUGAAAUGCGUAGAGAUGUNGGAG
rnacentral:rRNA from 1 species